CGGCGUUGGCUGCUCUGGUGACGGGAGGAGCUAGAGGAGGAUUUAGUCUGUGUCCAAACAAGAAGCCAUUGGCGAACUAGAGCUAGCUUCAAGGUCAGAGGACAGGCAGUCUUGUGACCUAGGGUUAGGAGCCACACCGGUCAUAGCGGCGGCUGAAAAACGAAUCAAACCGUCUUUAAAAUGUUUUCACGGUAAACAACCAGCUGUCGAACAGAGGCAGCCUUCAAACUGCAGGAUGACAACAGCAGACUUUUUUCUGUUUUUCUAGUGGUGAGAACAUGGAUGUCAGACGUGUAAGCUGCUUCGUUUCCACGGUGAUAAACCUUCCACUCCAAAGGUGAUGAAAGGCCUCUGACACCCAACGCAUAUGCACAUGUACAAGCGCACACGCACACAUGCACACUUUCACGCGCACCCACACAUGCACACGCACACAUCUACACACACACAUCUACACGCACACAUCUACACGCACAGAACCACACGCAUACAUAUGCCUGUUGUGUGGCUCUCUGAAACAGCUCUGUAACAUCGUCCGAUGUUAGAGAGUUCAGUCAAUAACAAUGUUUUUUGACUCAACUCUCAAGAGACAAUAACAAUGUUUACACUAGACAAGUUCAUCAACUCUGACUGCGAACACAAACGACACCAGAACACUAGUGAGACAGAGUGAACAAUACCGACACCAGAAGAUUAGUGAGACAGAGUGAAAACUAGUGAGGCAGACUGAACACUAGUGAGACAGAGUGAACACUAGUGAGGCAGAGUGAACACUAGUGAGACAGAGUGAACACUAGUGAGGCAGAGUGAAUACUAGUGAGACAGAGUGAACAAUGGUGAGACAGAGUGACACUAGCGAGGCAGAGUGAGGCAGAGUGAACACUAGUGAGACAGAGUGAACCCUAGUGAGGCAGAGUGAACACUAUUGAGACAACGGUAAAAAUAGUGAGGCAGAGCGAACACUAGUGGGACAGAGGGAACACUAGUAAAACAGAGUGAACACUAUUGAGGCAGAGUGAACACUAGUGAGGCAGAGUGAGGCAGAGUGAACACUAGUGAGGCAGAGGGAACACUACCAACACCAGACCAGCAGUAAGAAACCGAAUGCCUCCUUUGUUGCGGUGUUUUGUGUUAUGUUAUAUUAUGUUGUGGUAUGUUAU
ensembl:lncRNA